rnacentral:rRNA from 1 species
GACGAACGCUGGCGGCGUGCCUAAUACAUGCAAGUCGAACGCAGUGGGGACUGGUGAGUAACACGUGGGUAACCUCCCAUCAGUGGUGAUAACACUUUGAAACAGGUGCUAAACCGAUAUUGAUGGAUGGACCCGCGGUGCAUUAGCUAGUUGGUGAGGUCACGGCUCAACAAGGCCACGAUGCAUAGCCGACAUGCGAUGGUGAGCGGCCAGACUGGGACGGAGACCGGGCCCAGACUGCUACGGAAGGCGGCAGUAGGGAAUCUGCGGGAAGGAACGAAAGUCUGACCGAGAAACGCCGCGAGAGUGAAGAAGGUUUUCGGUUCGUACAACGAUGUUGUUAGAGAAGCGGUAUCUAAACAGAAAGCCACGGCUAAAUACGUGCCAGCCGCCGCGGUAAUUC